GGAGUUAGCCGGUGCUUCUUCUGUGAGUGAUGUCCUUCCUGCCGGCUAUUAACCCGCAGGCCUUCUUCCUCACUGAAAGUGCUUUACAACCCGAAGGCCUUCUUCACACACGCGGCAUGGCUGGAUCAGGGUUGCCCCCAUUGUCCAAUAUUCCCCACUGCUGCCUCCCGUAGGAGUCUGGGCCGUGUCUCAGUCCCAGUGUGGCUGAUCAUCCUCUCAGACCAGCUACGGAUCGUCGCCUUGGUGAGCCGUUACCUCACCAACCAGCUAAUCCGACAUAGGCUCAUCCGAUAGCGCGAGGCCCGAAGGUCCCCCGCUUUCCCCCGUAGGGCGUAUGCGGUAUUAGCCUGGGUUUCCCCAGGUUAUCCCCCACUACCCGUGCAGAUUCCUAUGCAUUACUCACCCGUCCGCCGCUCGCCACCAGGGAGCAAGCUCCCCGUGCUGCCGCUCGACUUGCAUGUGUUAGGCCUGCCGCCAGCGUUCAAUCUGAGCCAUAAUCAAACUCUGA
rnacentral:rRNA from 1 species